AUCUCGUCUAUAUAAGAUUGAUAAUAUAUGUUCUUAUCAGUUUAAUAUCUGAUAUGUGGUCCAACGGAUCACACGAUAUUAAAUUACUUUUUUGAGGGGGAGAAGUCACCUCAGUAGCUUACUACUGGACUUUCUCAUAUGUCGCUCAUGCGUUGCACUAUUGCAUGAGUCAGAUGCAUCCCAC
rnacentral:snRNA from 2 species